UACGAAGGGUGCAAGCGUUACUCGGAAUUACUGGGCGUAAAGCGUGCGUAGGCGGUUCGUUAAGUCCGAUGUGAAAGCCCUGGGCUCAACCUGGGAACUGCAUUGGAAACUGGCGGGCUGGAGUGCGGUAGAGGGUGGCGGAAUUCCCGGUGUAGCAGUGAAAUGCGUAGAUAUCGGGAGGAACAUCCGUGGCGAAGGCGGCCACCUGGACCAGCACUGACGCUGAGGCACGAAAGCGUGGGGAGCAAACAGGAUUAGAAA
rnacentral:rRNA from 1 species